rnacentral:rRNA from 1 species
GACGAACGCUGGCGGCGUGCCUAAUACAUGCAAGUAGAACGCUGAAGGAGGAGCUUGCUCUUCUGGAUGAGUUGCGAACGGGUGAGUAACGCGUAGGUAACCUGCCUGGUAGCGGGGGAUAACUAUUGGAAACGAUAGCUAAUACCGCAUAACAGUAGAUGUUGCAUGACAUUUGCUUAAAAGGUGCAAUUGCAUCACUACCAGAUGGACCUGCGUUGUAUUAGCUAGUUGGUGGGGUAACGGCUCACCAAGGCGACGAUACAUGGCCGACCUGAGAGGGUGAUCGGCCACACUGGGACUGAGACACGGCCCAGACUCCUACGGGAGGCAGCAGUAGGGAAUCUUCGGCAAUGGACGGAAGUCUGACCGAGCAACGCCGCGUGAGUGAAGAAGGUUUUCGGAUCGUAAAGCUCUGUUGUAAGAGAAGAACGAGUGUGAGAGUGGAAAGUUCACACUGUGACGGUAUCUUACCAGAAAGGGACGGCUAACUACGUG